GGGACCACGGUAUCUGGUUGAUCCUGCCAGUAGUCAUAUGCUUGUCUCAAAGCUUAAGCCAUGCAAGUCUCAGUGCAAACUUAAUUAAAGUGAAACCGCGAAUAGCUCAUUAAAUCAGUUAUGGUUCACUUGAGCAUCCACCGAGAGUGGAUAACUGUGGUAAUUCUAGAGCUAAUACAUGCAAUCAAGUCCCGUCCAGUGAUGGUAAGGACGCUUUUAUUAGAUCAAAACCAAUCGGUUCGGGCUCGCCCGAUCCGUUGUGUUUGAUGAAUCUGGGUAACACACCACUGAUCGCACGGUCCUAGUACCGGCGACUCGUCUUUCAAAUGCCUGACUUAUCAACUGUCGAUGGUAGAUUUUAUGUCUACCAUGGUUGUAACGGGUAACGGGGAAUCAGGGUUCGAUUCCGGAGAGGGAGCCUGAGAAACUGCUACCACAUCCAAGGAAGGCAGCAGGCACGCAAAUUACCCACUCCCGGCACGGGGAGGUAGUGACAAAAAAUAACGAUACGGGACUCAUCCGAGGCCCCGUAAUCGGAAUGAGUACACUUUAAAUCCUUUAACGAGGAUCCAUUGGAGGGCAAGUCUGGUGCCAGCAGCCGCGGUAAUUCCAGCUCCAAUAGCGUAUAUUAAAGCUGUUGCGGUUAAAAAGCUCGUAGUUGGUUCUGUGUGCCACGCUGUCGGUUCACCGCCUGCCGGUGCAACUGGCAUGCCGUGGGAUGUCUUGCCGGAGGGGUCCGAAGCCCGCAGCGGCGACUCUGUCUCGCUGUCGGGAUUAGGUCCUCGAUCACGCUGCCACGGUGCUCUUUACCGAGUGUCGGGGCAGGCCGACAAGAUUACUUUGAACAAAUUAGAGUGCUUAAAGCAGGCUUAGAGUUGCCUAAAUAGUGGUGCAUGGAAUAAUGGAAUAGGACCUUGUUUCUGUUUUGUUGGCUUUCGGAAUUCAAGGUAAUGAUCAAUGUGGACAGGCGGGGGCAUUCGUAUUGCGACGUUAGAGGUGAAAUUCUUGGAUCGUCGCAAGACGAACUAGAGCGAAAGCAUUUGCCAAGUAUGUCUUAGUUGAUCAAGAACGAAAGUUAGAGGUUCGAAGGCGAUCAGAUACCGCCCUAGUUCUAACCAUAAACGAUGCUAGCCAGCAAUCCGCCGAUGUUCCUCCGAUGACUCGGCGGGCAACCCCCGGGAAACCAAAGCUUUUGGGUUCCGGGGGAAGUAUGGUUGCAAAGCUGAAACUUAAAGGAAUUGACGGAAG
rnacentral:rRNA from 1 species